UCCACUGCGGAUUCGAGGAGAACCUGCCGCCAAUUUUUCUGAUUCUCCGGCGUCUUCGGCUACUUCCAUGUCUUCCCGUCAUCUCCGGCGUUUCUCUUAAACCCUAAUCUUCAUUUGCCACCGCCGCUACUUUUUGUGUGUCUGCUUUGCGAGGCCUCUUUCUCUAAUCAUCUGUUCAAUCGAUUUGUCGGUGUAAUCAGAGCUACUAUCCAUCACUGUUACCGUGAUUCCUCCAUCGAUUGACAAUUGGUUCAAGUUCAAGCAACAAGGGAAAUCAAUCUCAGGAUCGAACCAUUUUUCCUCACCGGUGGCGACGCAACUUGCAACGCUGCAAACUGAAAUUGG